GUGGGGAAUCUUCCGCAAUGGACGAAAGUCUGACGGAGCAACGCCGCGUGAGUGAAGAAGGUUUUCGGAUCGUAAAGCUCUUUCGUUAGGGACGAACGUGCUCUUUGUGAAUAAUGAGGAGUAAUGACGGUACCUAAAUAAGAAGCCACGGCUAACUACGUGCCAGCAGCCGCGGUAAUACGUAGGGGGCAAGCGUUGUCCGGAAUUAUUGGGCGUAAAGCGCGCGCAGGCGGGAUAUCAAGUCUGUCUUAAAAGUGCGAGGCUCAACCUCGUGAGGGGACAGAAACUGGUAUUCUUGAGUGUCGGAGAGGAAAGUGGAAUUCCAAGUGUAGCGGUGAAAUGCGUAGAGAUUUGGAAGAACACCAGUGGCGAAGGCGACUUUCUGGACGAUGUCUGACGCUGAGGCGCGAAAGCUAGGGGAGCGAACGGGAUUAGAAACCCGUGUAGUCC
rnacentral:rRNA from 1 species